UACGUAGGGGGCAAGCGUUGUCCGGAAUCAUUGGGCGUAAAGCGCGCGUAGGCGGCCCGGUAAGUCUGCUGUGAAAGUCCAAGGCUCAACCUUGGGAUGCCGGUGGAUACUGUCGAGCUCGAGUCCGGAAGAGGAGUGUGGAAUUCCUGGUGUAGCGGUGAAAUGCGCAGAUAUCAGGAGGAACACCAAUGGCGAAGGCAGCACUCUGGGACGUGACUGACGCUGAGACGCGAAAGCGUGGGGAGCAAACAGG
rnacentral:rRNA from 1 species